rnacentral:rRNA from 1 species
UUUACGCUAAUACCGCAUACGAUCUAAGGAUGAAANCGGGGGAUUCGCAAGAACCUCGCGCGAUUGGAGCGGCUGAUNUCAGAUUAGGGUUGUUGGUGAGGUAAAAAGCUCACCAAGCCGACGAUCUGUAGCUGGUUUGAGAGAACGACCAGCCACACUGGGACUGAGACACGGCCCAGACUCCUACGGGAGGCAGCAGUGGGGAAUUUUGGACAAUGGGCGAAAGCCUGAUCCAGCAAUGCCGCGUGCAGGAAGAAGGCCUUCGGGUUGUAAACUGCUUUUGUACGGAACGAAAAGGCUCUUUCUAAUAAAGAGGGCCCAUGACGGUACCGUAAGAAUAAGCACCGGCUAACUACGUG